rnacentral:rRNA from 1 species
CCUACGGGAGGCAGCAGUAAGGAAUAUUGGACAAUGGGCGAAAGCCUGAUCCAGCCAUGCCGCGUGAAGGAUUAAGGUCCUCUGGAUUGUAAACUUCUUUUAUCUGGGACGAAAAAAGGGAAUUCUUUCCCACUUGACGGUACCAGGUGAAUAAGCACCGGCUAACUCCGUGCCAGCAGCCGCGGUAAUACGGAGGGUGCAAGCGUUAUCCGGAUUCACUGGGUUUAAAGGGUGCGUAGGCGGGUAGGUAAGUCAGUGGUGAAAUCCUGGAGCUUAACUCCAGAACUGCCAUUGAUACUAUUUAUCUUGAAUAUUGUGGAGGUUUGCGGAAUAUGUCAUGUAGCGGUGAAAUGCUUAGAUAUGACAUAGAACACCUAUUGCGAAGGCAGCAGGCUACACAUAUAUUGACGCUGAGGCACGAAAGCGUGGGGAUCAAACAGGAUUAGAUACCCUGGUAGUCCACGCCCUAAACUAUGGAUACUCGACAUACGCGAUACACUGUGUGUGUCUGAGCGAAAGCAUUAAGUAUCCCACCUGGGAAGUACGACCGCAAGGUUGAAACUUAAAUGAAUUGACGGCUGAGAGNGCGACGGACGACACGAGGGAGGAGG